UCACCUUUUAAGUGAAGUCCAGAGAGACUUACAAGGGUGUUUCAUUCAAUGUGUACAUGAAGUUACACAUUAAAAAAACGCCCUAAUUUAAGAUAGGGCGUUUUUUUU
rfam:Bacillus sporothermodurans strain B4102 NODE_37, whole genome shotgun sequence.